GUGGAGUCAUUCCGAGGGCGAGGUGCAGCUUCUGCUGCUCCUUAGUGUGUUAGCUUGCAUUCCAUGCUGCUCCAUGAGCAUGUUCCCAUGUGCCAUAUCGUUUAGUGGUUAGCAGGAUAGGUCAGUUUGAUUGUUAAUGUUUUCUGCUGCUGUGUUUCUCAGAGAGGGUCCUGGAGAGCUUUGGUACUGUGCACUGAUACAAAAAGCCUAUGGUAGAGAUGAUGCUGAUGGCUCUGGCUGUUGUUCAAAGCUAUGUUUUUGCAGUGUUACUGUCUUAUUAGGCUGGUAGUUAAUUAGCUGUCUCUUUUUGAUGUUUGCUGUAAUCUAAGGAGACUUAGACGCUUCUCUGCUGAGUGUUUCAGAAAUCAUUACAGAAGUUGUGAUGGGAUUAGAGAAGAGCAACUUGUGCAUCCAGGUUCUGAAGGAGGUUACAGUUGGGCUAGAGAAGCACAGCAUGUGUCCUGGCUCUGGAGCCUGCCAUGCGGCAAUUUUCAUUGUAAAAGAAAUGACUGAUUUCAGGACUGUUUUCCUUCUGGAGUUAGUAUGAUAAGUUCCCUAUGCAAAUGACCCUACUUCAUUUUCUCCUGGCUGGAGGAACUCUGGAACUGUUUUUCUCUUCAAAUAUGCAAUAGGUUAUGUCAGUGUGACUUCAUCCCAGGCCCUUGAGUUGUGUUGUCUGAGCUGGCACAGUAAGCUUUACCCAACUUGUCACUGAGGCACCGCAACAUCCACAGUGGGUACUGUACACCCACCUAGCCAUCAGAGAGCAGUAGAAUUAAAAUUAGCAAAUGUGCAGGAAAUGACAGUGAUGCAGCACCUCCACUCUGAAGAGUUAUCUACUUGUUCCAAUUCCAUUCUAUCACCAUAAGCCUGAACAUGAGCUGGUAGUUACAGGACAAACAGAAAUGUGCAAACUUGAUACCAUGACAUCCAUCGCAUGUCAGUUAUGUGCUGUCAAUUCCUUCAAAAGCAUUAGUCCUUAUUUCAGUGUUUUCAAGUCUUAUCUUCCAAACUUCCCCUAUAACACAUUUCUUUCCAGGGGUAGGCAGUGAAGCUUGUUCUUUUUCUGAGAGGUGAUUUCCAAGUUUCUUUUUGUGCAGAGGGUUCUUUAAAAAAGGAGAUAAUAUUUCCCCAUCCUUGAGCCUUCCUUUCCCCCAUUAUUACAAUUUUCAAAAAUGUAGAUUCUCCUAAUACAGCAGAGACCGUUCCACAGCUCUGCCUUUAAUGGAGUGAGCAGAUUGCAGUAAGAAUGUGGUGCUGCGCAGUAAAUUUAAUGACUUUAUGAAGAUAAAUGUUUCCCUUCCAAAGCCCCUUCUUGUCAGAAUACAUUUAAUACUGCCAUUCCUUUGAGAACUAAAUUCCUGUAGCACUUUGCAGCAUAUUAGCAUGUUUUUCUCACCACAUGAAAUUGCACUUUGAGCAAGAAAUAAUAAUGUUUCUGCAUCCCCUUGUACAUUUUUAUUACUGCCAAUGAAUAGGAGUAAAUUAACUAUUAUGGCUAACAUUAUUCACAGGGCCAAACUCCUAACUCAUUUUACAGAGAAUAAUAAAUAACUGAAUAAAUAAGAUGCCUUUAAUUUCACAUGUGAAUUAUCAAGGAUUCCUCUGAGUAGGAGGAGUAGGGGCUCUACAAACAAAUGCAGGUCUAUAGAAGAAGUUAGAUAUGUGUCCACUCAUCUUUAUUUUCUUUUAUAUUCUCCAAACAUCCUAAUGAAUAUCCUUGUAAUUACGUGUCAUUCCUAUGAAAACAGGUUUCUCUUGUAUGAUUAUUUGUUGCUGUGCAUGUUAUUCAAAUACUAAUCUGGAAGAUGAGCCACAUUUUGCUGUUAGUUUCUUGGAUUAUGAUGUGAUUGAUGGCAAUUACCAUCUAAUUUACUUCAUCUGCAGACUGCAGAGUUGCUUGUUCACGACAGAGCAUCAUUGUACCCUUUUGCAACAAGGGAAGCUGAGACUCAGAGGGACUGGUGCUUUGUAGUAGGGUACUCAACAUAUGAGAUCACACUGCACUUGGUAAGAGAACUUACUACAAAGAGGACUCUGUUUUUGGAAAGAAAAUUAUUUUUAUAUCAUUGACCAGUUCAGAAGGGAUCAGUCUGUAUUUCAAGCAUGCUGAAUUGUGUUUAACAAGUAUUAUCAAGGUAGAUGUAUGCUUCUGUGUUUACAAAUACAAACAAUUUCAAGGAAAAUAAACCAUUCACACAUUUAUAAAUGGAAAAAUGGAAUAUUUUCGCAUGACAAUUUUCAUGGUGAGGAAAGAAGUGCUAUACAUUUCUGCUUCUUGUUUGAAUUUUUCAAUCUGAGGCAAUAAAAUAUUUUGCUGCGCC
ensembl:lncRNA